CUUGAGAGAAUGAUUCCCAUUAGUAAUAUUAUUAUAUCCAGAAUAGUUCCCCUCCAAUCUGUACGCAUCCUCAUUAACAUUGUUGAGAUAUUUAUGGUGUGACAUGUCACUAUCAUCAAUAUUCCUGUAUCAUAAUUUCAGAACCAAAAUGCCAUUUUCAGCUUGUUGCAGAUAGCAAAAAAAAAAAUUCAAUAUUUAUAACAAGUCAUUUAUUAAAAUUCAACCAUAUUACAUUACACUAUAAGAUAGAAAUCCAUAAUUCAUAAAGCCAUUUUUUUUAAUGCAAGAAUCUAAAAUAUAGCAAAUUCAAAAUUCUAACUUAAGGGAUUUUAAAAAAUGCAGACUUCUGAACUAAGGGAUUUUUUUGGGUACCCACACAACAUUCACUAGUAUGUUUUGGACUACAGCCAUAUUUACAAAAAAUUCAUAUAUAAAACUCGAAGUUGCUGAAUGUGGAAAACAUACUCAACAGAAGGCCAAGCCACGCACUCCUCAGGUUUCAAGGUUGAAGUCAGCCGACAAUAAAAGAAACCUGUUAGCAUUAAUGCAUAUGCAGCCACUUUGCCCAAGAGUAGCAAAACAUUUGUCGCUUUGCUGGAAGGAACAAAUGAAAGUUUAUUUCUGUUGGUUAGGAAUCAAACUCUAAAAAAAAAUGAACCAAUGCUAAAGAGCAAAGAGGAAUAUAGAGAAUGGGAAAGAAAGCAAAAUGCGCGUUAGUUUAGGGACCAAAUAACAAGCGUAUGGCAUACCUCCGAGAAUAUUUGUGUAGAUCCCAGUGAAGGAACCUCAACCGAUUCUCCUCUGACAAAUCUUUAUUUAUAACAUCAAUUGCAUUUGCAAACUCUUGACGAAGAAUCGACUCUCGAGGCUUCUUCUCUUGUGUCUGCUCAUAAAAAAAAACAGUAAUAUACAGAAUCUUAUCAUUAAAUCAGUGAUAUCAUAGAGCUACAUCAAAUUACUCCACUAGCCUGCCCCUUCCCCCCCCCAAAAAAAAAAAAAAAAAAACAAAAAUUGUAGAUUUUCUGCACGCAUUAUCUUUAAGAAACAUAGCAGUUAUGUAAUAGUAAAACAAAAUAAAAAGACUGGAAUGAAGAUGACAUAUAGCCGAAAAGGGAUAGUGGGUGAUAUAAUUAUACUUACCUUAAUCAAAUUUAAAAUAAUUAUAGGGUUGCCAUAUCUUUUGACAAGAUUUUGAAAGUGAAGUCUGGUUGCUUCAUAAUUUUUGUCCUUCUUGGACACUGGGAAAAGAGAAAACAGGGUUAGUUUUCCUUUUCCUGAACAAAAGAAAAUGCCUGUAGUAACACCUGAAGUACUCCGACAAUUACAAGCACAUACAUAUGAUAUCUGGUUUAAGAUUCAAUCGUGAGGUUUCUUGUGACCAAAAGAGCGGAAUUGAGCCUCGGUUCUGGACAACAGAAGUUACUUCUGCAGGAAGCCCAUCAGGGACAUCCUCGAAGACAAUCUGCUCUGUCUCAACAUCAUUAGCUACUCUGCCUUUUUCAUUUACUCCUCGUUUUAGAUACCUACAAAAAUAAUCGCAUGCACAUGCAGACAAGCAGUUUCAACCCAUAACUAUGUUACAGAAAAUAACAAUGGUAUUAAGGAUAACCAAGUUAAAUUGCAUCUCAUAGUGCUCUACAAUAACAAAACUAAGCUUUUUCCCUUUAAUGGGGGACAACUUUCUUACCUGGUACCAGCAUAGUGACGGGAGCGUCUUGCAAUAAGCGUAAGUUUGAAGUCCCUUCCAGAUACAGAAAGUGUGGCCUAUAUUCAUGUAGCCCAAUGUCAAACUAUGAAGCUAAUAAUCCAAUAAUAUGCACAACAGGAAAUAAAACAUUAGCUAACGAUAACUUAAAAUGAGGACUGUCCUUAACCUGCUUAAAGAAGCCAUACACCAAUGCAACUGUCCAUAAAGUAUUCUGGAGAUGACUGUGGAUCCCUCGAGUUAGGAACUCAUUCCACACAAACAUGGUCUCAUAAAGAACCUGACCUGGUUCAUUAUUACACAAGUUCUUUUGAAGACUAAGCAUGACAUGGUAUGAAUAGCUGAAGAAGAAGUCCUUUGUCAGAUCAACCGUGCAUAAGAGCUUCUUGUAUCUAAAUAAAAGACAAAACAAGUAAUAUCGAAUUAAAAACUAAAUGCAAAAUGCACAAUGGAAAAGGCACUUAGUUUGAAAAAUGGAAACAAAGUGAAUUAGCAAACAGAAAAGAAGAAGACCUAUUCUCAUCCUUAGAGUCAGCAAUGCUUGAAUUAACAGUUGCAUUUGGGACAGGAAUCAUCUCAGUCUUUGAAACCGCAUAUACAUUAUGACCACGAAUUGAACCAAUCUGCCUUCUUUUUGUAAUAAGCAGCAUAUAGUAAGGCCCCAAAAAUUUAAUAAACCCUAAAACAUGGAACAAUUUUUCCGUAUUAGAUUAACAACAUUUGAAUAAAAUUAAUACUCCUAAAACCAUAACAUAAUUUCAACAUCCAUACCAACAAUGCCAUAACAAAUUGUAACGAAUCUCAAUCCACCGGUGGAUAUAUUUCCUUCAUGUAUCCGCCUCAACAACUCAGAGCAUUCACUCUCUGUAUACGUGGUAGAGUCUUCCCGAAUGUUCAGCUCGGAAGGAUCAAGCCGG
rnacentral:lncRNA from 1 species